AUAAAGCUGCCGUGAUUAGGAGGAUUUUUUCUGAUAGAAUAAAAUAAAGUAGUCCUCCUCCCCUUUAUUA
rnacentral:tRNA from 1 species